UACGUAGGGUGCGAGCGUUGUCCGGAAUUAUUGGGCGUAAAGGCGCUUGUAGGCGGUUUGUCGCGUCGGGAGUGAAAUCCACUGGCUUAACUGGUGGCUUGCUUUCGAUACGGGCAGACUGGAGGUAUGCAGGGGAGAACGGAAUUCCUGGUGUAGCGGUGAAAUGCGGCAGAUAUCAGGAGGAACACCGGGUGGCGAAGGCGGGUCU
rnacentral:rRNA from 1 species